rnacentral:RNase_P_RNA from 3 species
AGCAUUGGUUGACAGCUGUUAUUUUUAAUAAUAGAGGAAAGUCCGCGCUAGCACAGGCUGAGAUGCCUGUAGUGAUCAUGCCAACAUUAAUAAGGUUGGGGUAAUUAAAUUACACGACUAGCACCACAGAGACGAGAAUUGUGAAACGGGUAAGCUCCAUGAGCUAGAAACUCAAAUUAAGGUAGAGGAAUCUAGAUUCGGGAAUUGAACCGAUAUAGAAGUUUAUAACUAGAUAAAUUGUCAACACCUAUAUUAAUAGGUACAGAACGCGGCUUAUAGAU